UGUGUGCUAAUGAGUUGACUGAUGGCUAGC
rnacentral:piRNA from 1 species